rnacentral:rRNA from 1 species
GAUGAACGCUGGCGGCGUGCCUAAUACAUGCAAGUCGAGCGAACAGACGAGGAGCUUGCUCCUCUGACGUUAGCGGCGGACGGGCGAGUAACACGUGGAUAACCUACCUAUAAGACUGGGAUGACUUCGGGAAACCGGAUCUAAUACCGGAUAAUAUAUUGAACCGGAUGGUUCAAUAGUGAAAGACGGUUUUGCUGUCACUUAUAGAUGGAUCCGCGCCGCAUUAGCUAGUUGGUAAGGUAACGGCUUACCAAGGCGACGAUGCGUAGCCGACCUGAGAGGGUGAUCGGCCACACUGGAACUGAGACACGGUCCAGACUCCUACGGGAGGCAGCAGUAGGGAAUCUUCCGCAAUGGGCGAAAGCCUGACGGAGCAACGCCGCGUGAGUGAUGAAGGUCUUCGGAUCGUAAAACUCUGUUAUUAGGGAAGAACAAAUGUGUAAGUAACUAUGCACGUCUUGACGGUACCUAAUCAGAAAGCCACGGCUAACUACGUG